rnacentral:rRNA from 1 species
UCCGUAGGUGAACCUGCGGAAGGAUCAUUACCGAGUUCUGGGUUCUCUCAUCGAGACCCGCUCUCCCACCCUUUGUGAACUUAACCUCUGUUGCUUUGGCGUGGCCAGCGCUGUAAAAGGCGCGGUCGGCGGGGCCUGGCCCCCGCUGGCAAGCUUGCCCGCCAGAGGACUAUCAAACUCUUGUCAGUAAACGAUGCAGUCUGAUCAAACAUUUAAUUGUUUAAAACUUUCAACAACGGAUCUCUUGGUUCUGGCAUCGAUGAAGAACGCAGCGAAAUGCGAUAAGUAAUGUGAAUUGCAGAAUUCAGUGAAUCAUCGAAUCUUUGAACGCACAUUGCGCCCUAUGGUAUUCCGUAGGGCAUGCCUGUUCGAGCGUCAUUACACACCUCAAGCUCUGCUUGGUAUUGGGCGUCGCCCCCUCUAAAACGGGGGGCGUGCCUCAAAGACCUCGGCGGUGGCGUCUUUGCCUCAAGCGUAGUAAUAUUUAUUUAUAAUCUCGCUUUGGAGUCGAAGGCGUCGCCCGCCGGACGAAACCUUUAUUUUUUCUAUCAAGGUUGACCUCGGAUCAGGUAGGGAUACCCGCUGAACUUAAGCAUAUCAAUAAGCGGAGGA